ensembl:lncRNA
CCUGUUGUCUGCUGCACUCCCAUUUUUUACCUCCCCCAGCAUAUGAAUGAUACUUCUCAAGUUUUCAGAAGUUUUACAAAGCAGUGCUUUUUUGCGCACCCAAUCUGCAGGUGCAGCAAAGACCUUGGCAAGGGGCAAACCGAUUAUCACUUACGAAAACAGUUACAUCGUAUUGUUCAUAUUUCUUCAAGGUCUUGAGCAAGGCAUAAAUUCUCAUGAAAACGAAGCUAUUGCAGUUCCAGCAUCAGACAGCUAACCAGGUAUGUCUUUCUUUUGCUUUCUGAGUUGAUUUUACAGUAUUUAGUAAGAUAUAACUCUUUUUUUCUCCUCUCAUAUAUUCAGUGGGUAAUUCUAACACAUAUUUUUGCAGCCUUUAAAUCCAAGUCUUAAAUACCGCGCAGCAGUUCUGACUUCAUUAAAUGAAGACAAUGUACUUUUACAGACUUGUAAUUCAGCCUCUGAUCCUGCUACAAAAAUGACUACAUUUCUUCUUUCCGAGAGCUCCCUUUUCUUGUAUGUAUUCCAGAAUAGGAAAUUACAAUGAAUUUUUAACCUACUAAACACUGUGAAGUCCUUGUUGAUCCCCAGGGAUUAAAGCUAUUUGUUUCGUGCUUUAACCUCUGUUCUAGCCUUGACUAUUUUUUAACAUCUCUGUAGUGCUGAAUCAAAAAAAAAAAAAAAAGGAAAUGCACUGCAAAAAAAAUACAUUAACAUUCAAUUCCUAUUAAUCUAUGCAUUUUUUAUUACAGGUUUAUUCUUUAUACUCUCGCCACAUCUUGAUUUGGCUCGUUGUUCCUUUUUCCUAUGCAUAUACUUCUUUGAGAGUUUGAUCUAAAGAGGCAUAGAGCAUGGGAAAAUGGGGCGACUGAGGUACUCCGCCAUUCAUUCCAAACAGCACCAUUGAGGUGACUAUUGAAACGUGGAGAAAAUGGACAGACAAGCAAAUGAAAGGUGUCUUUGAAGAGGAACUGGAGAUUUUUAUUUUCCUGUUAACAUUUUAUUAUAUUUCUGUUCAAUUGCUUUUCUUUAGUCUAAAAAGCGAUGUAUCACAUCAGUUCUGUGAAAAAUAUUAUGGAACCCUGUAACUGAAUAUACUGCGUGCCAAAUAAAAACCUAAAUGUUUC